rnacentral:rRNA from 1 species
CAGUAGCCACGGUAAUACGAAGGUCCCAAGCGUUGUUCGGAAUCACUGGGCGUAAAGGGAGCGUAGGCGGCGUGGUAAGUCAGAUGUGAAAUCCCGGGGCUCAACCCCGGAACUGCAUCCGAUACUGCCAUGCUUGAGGGUUGGAGAGGUAGCUGGAAUUCUCGGUGUAGCAGUGAAAUGCGUGGAUAUCGAGAGGAACACUCGUGGCGAAGGCGAGCUACUGGACAACAUCUGACGCUGAGGCUCGAAGGCUAGGGUAGCGAAAGGGAUUAGAGACCCCCGUAGUCCCUGUCUCUUAUAC